UACGGAGGGUGCGAGCGUUGUCCGGAAUCACUGGGCGUAAAGGGCGCGUAGGCGGCCCGGAUAGUCGGCGGUGAAAGCCCGGAGCUCAACUCAAGAAAUGCAUUCAGGACUGGAUGACUAGAGGACCGGAGAGGAUAGUGGAAUUCCCAGUGUAGUGGUGAAAUACGUAGAGAUUGGGAAGAACACCAGUGGCGAAGGCGGCUAUCUGGACGGUUUCUGACGCUAAGACGCGAAAGCGUGGGGAGCAAACAGG
rnacentral:rRNA from 1 species